rnacentral:rRNA from 1 species
ACGGAGGGUGCAAGCGUUAAUCGGAAUUACUGGGCGUAAAGCGCACGCAGGCGGUUUGUUAAGUCAGAUGUGAAAUCCCCGGGCUCAACCUGGGAACUGCAUCUGAUACUGGCAAGCUUGAGUCUCGUAGAGGGGGGAAGAAUUCCAGGUGUAGCGGCGAAAGGCGUAGAGAUGAGGAGGAGGACCGGAGGCGAAGGAGGCAGAAUGGACUAAGACUGACACUGAUGCGCGAAAGUGUGGGAAGCAAACAG